AAUGUUGAUGAGAGGAACUUGUAAGUUUGAUUCUUUCCUGAGGUAGUGUGUAUUACGAAAAUUAACUUGUGAGAAAGCAUUCAAAUGUUGUUUUGAAGG